rnacentral:rRNA from 1 species
GAUGAACGCUAGCUACAGGCUUAACACAUGCAAGUCGAGGGGCAGCAUGGUCUUAGCUUGCUAAGGCCGAUGGCGACCGGCGCACGGGUGAGUAACACGUAUCCAACCUGCCGUCUACUCUUGGACAGCCUUCUGAAAGGAAGAUUAAUACAAGAUGGCAUCAUGAGUCCGCAUGUUCACAUGAUUAAAGGUAUUCCGGUAGACGAUGGGGAUGCGUUCCAUUAGAUAGUAGGCGGGGUAACGGCCCACCUAGUCUUCGAUGGAUAGGGGUUCUGAGAGGAAGGUCCCCCACAUUGGAACUGAGACACGGUCCAAACUCCUACGGGAGGCAGCAGUGAGGAAUAUUGGUCAAUGGACGAGAGUCUGAACCAGCCAAGUAGCGUGAAGGAUGACUGCCCUAUGGGUUGUAAACUUCUUUUAUACGGGAAUAAAGUGAGGCACGUGUGCCUUUUUGUAUGUACCGUAUGAAUAAGGAUCGGCUAACUCCGUGCCAGCAGCCGCGGUAAUACGGAGGAUCCGAGCGUUAUCCGGAUUUAUUGGGUUUAAAGGGAGCGUAGGCGGACGCUUAAGUCAGUUGUGAAAGUUUGCGGCUCAACCGUAAAAUUGCAGUUGAUACUGGGUGUCUUGAGUACAGUAGAGGCAGGCGGAAUUCGUGGUGUAGCGGUGAAAUGCUUAGAUAUCACGAAGAACUCCGAUUGCGAAGGCAGCCUGCUAAGCUGCAACUGACAUUGAGGCUCGAAAGUGUGGGUAUCAAACCAGG